rnacentral:tRNA from 1 species
GCCAGCGUCGCAUAACUUGGCAUUGCGCCAGUCUCGAAAACUGGUGUCCUCCGGACUUGCAGGUUCAAACCCGGAGAAGGGAUAUCCCUUCUCAAGGGAUUACUCAUCCCUUAGGUGAGAAUAUUAUCUCAUCUUGGUGAAAAUCCUGCCGCUGGCG